rnacentral:rRNA from 1 species
UACGUAGGGUGCAAGCGUUGUCCGGAAUUAUUGGGCGUAAAGAGCUCGUAGGCGGUUUGUCGCGUCUGCUGUGAAAACCCGAGGCUCAACCUCGGGCCUGCAGUGGGUACGGGCAGACUAGAGGUAUGCAGGGGAGAACGGAAUUCCUGGUGUAGCGGUGAAAUGCGUAGAUAUCUGGAGGAACACCGGUGGCGAAGGCGGCUCACUGGCCCGAUACUGACCGCUGAGGCACGAAAGCGUGGGGAGCAAACAGG